CUGUGAUAAAGCUGCUGUAAAGUUAUUAGUUUGCAACCAGUCACGAAGCGCCUACAGAGAAUGGCAACUUUGAUGAAAUUGUUUCUUCUGUUGUUAGUUAGCAUGAUGUUACUUUCUUCAACGACUGAAGCAAGUCCCUGUUGUUGCGGAUUUACAACUGUAGCUUGUGGGACAAUUUGCCAAGAAUUUCCCACAAAGAUAGGAAGUCCCUUACCCCACCCUUGUGACCCUUUUCGCCCGCGUUAUACAAAAUAAAAAUCACGUAAGAAUUAAGUUUAAUAAAAACUGUUUGGUUAAAUGAAUAGAAAAAUGAAAUAAUUUGCUACUCUUUUAUUGUUGUGUACUAAAGUGUUUGAAUUAAAAAUAUGUUUAUGGA